CUCUGUUUGAAGGUAUAAAGAGUAUAACCUGCUCACUGAUAAAAGUUUAAGAGCCGCAGUAUCUUGACUGUGCAAAGGUAGCAUAAUCGUUUGUUUUUUAAUUGGAAUCUUGUAUGAAUGGUUGGACAAGAGAAAAACUGUCUUUAUAAGAAAAAUUGAAUUUAACUUUUAGAUGAAAAGGUCUAAAUAAAUUAAAGGGACGAUAAGACCCUAUAAAGCUUAAUAUAAAAAGUUAGUUAAUUAAAUUUUAUUAAAAUAAAAAUGAAUUAAUUUAAUAUAUUUUGUUGGGGCGACAGAGGUAAAAUUAUUAUUAACUACUUAAAUAAGAUUCAAAUAUAAGUGUAAUUUUAAAAGAUCCUAGUUAAAGAUUUAAAGUUUAAGUUACUUUAGGGAUAACAGCGUUAUUUUUUUUGAGAGUACUUAUCGAGAAAAAAGUUUGCGACCUCGAUGUUGAAUUAAAAUAUCUUUAUAAUUGCAGAAGUUAUAAAAGAAGGUCUGUUCGACCUUUAAAUUUUUACAUGAUUUGAGUUCAGACCGGCGUGAG
rnacentral:rRNA from 1 species